AUUGAACGCUGGCGGCAUGCUUUACACAUGCAGGUCGAACGGUAACAGGUUAAGCUGACGAGUGGCGAACGGGUGAGUAAUGCAUCGGAACGUGCCCGAUCGUGGGGGAUAACGCAGCGAAAGCUGCGCUAAUACCGCAUACGAUCUGAGGAUGAAAGCGGGGGACCGUAAGGCCUCGCGCGAUCGGAGCGGCCGAUGUCAGAUUAGGUAGUUGGUGGGGUAAAGGCCCACCAAGCCGACGAUCUGUAGCUGGUCUGAGAGGACGACCAGCCACACUGGGACUGAGACACGGCCCAGACUCCUACGGGAGGCAGCAGUGGGGAAUUUUGGACAAUGGGCGAAAGCCUGAUCCAGCAAUGCCGCGUGCAGGAAGAAGGCCUUCGGGUUGUAAACUGCUUUUGUACGGAGCGAAAAGGUCCUUUCUAAUACAAGGGGCUCAUGACGGUACCGUAAGAAUAAGCACCGGCUAACUACGUGCCAGCCGCCGCAGUAAAAC
rnacentral:rRNA from 1 species